AUUGAACGCUGGCGGCAGGCUUAACACAUGCAAGUCGAGCGGAGAUGAGGUGCUUGCACCUUAUCUUAGCGGCGGACGGGUGAGUAAUGCUUAGGAAUCUGCCUAUUAGUGGGGGACAACAUUCCGAAAGGAAUGCUAAUACCGCAUACGCCCUACGGGGGAAAGCAGGGGAUCUUCGGACCUUGCGCUAAUAGAUGAGCCUAAGUCGGAUUAGCUAGUUGGUGGGGUAAAGGCCUACCAAGGCGACGAUCUGUAGCGGGUCUGAGAGGAUGAUCCGCCACACUGGGACUGAGACACGGCCCAGACUCCUAAGGGAGGCAGCAGUGGGGAAUAUUGGACAAUGGGCGGAAGCCUGAUCCAGCCAUGCCGCGUGUGUGAAGAAGGCCUUCUGGUUGUAAAGCGCUUUAAGCGAGGAGGAGGCUACCUGGAUUAAUACUCUAGGAUAGUGGACGUUACUCGCAGAAUAAGCACCGGCUAACUCUGUGCCAGCCGCCGCCGUAAAAC
rnacentral:rRNA from 1 species